GAUCCUACGGGGGGCAGCAGUCGAGAAUCAUUCACAAUGGGGGAAACCCUGAUGGUGCGACGCCGCGUGAGUGAAGAAGGGUUUCGGCUCGUAAAGCUCUGUUGGUAGUGAAGAAAGAUAGAGGUAGUAACUGGCCUUUAUUUGACGGUAAUUACUUAGAAAGUCACGGCUAACUACGUGCCAGCAGCCGCGGUAAUACGUAGGUGGCAAGCGUUGUCCGGAUUUAUUGGGCGUAAAGCGAGUGCAGGCGGGUCAAUAAGUCU
rnacentral:rRNA from 1 species